AUUGAACGCUGGCGGCAUGCUUUACACAUGCAAGUCGAACGGUAACAGGCCGCAAGGUGCUGACGAGUGGCGAACGGGUGAGUAAUGCAUCGGAACGUGCCCAGUCGUGGGGGAUAACGCAGCGAAAGCUGCGCUAAUACCGCAUACGAUCUAUGGAUGAAAGCGGGGGACCGUAAGGCCUCGCGCGAUUGGAGCGGCCGAUGUCAGAUUAGGUAGUUGGUGGGGUAAAGGCUCACCAAGCCAACGAUCUGUAGCUGGUCGGAGAGGACGACCAGCCACACUGGGACUGAGACACGGCCCAGACUCCUACGGGAGGCAGCAGUGGGGAAUUUUGGACAAUGGGCGCAAGCCUGAUCCAGCAAUGCCGCGUGCAGGAAGAAGGCCUUCGGGUUGUAAACUGCUUUUGUACGGAACGAAACGGUCUGGGUUAAUACCUCGGGCUAAUGACGGUACCGUAAGAAUAAGCACCGGCUAACUACGUGCCAGCCGCCGCGGUAAAAC
rnacentral:rRNA from 1 species